rnacentral:lncRNA from 1 species
CCAUGGUUGAUCUGGAAGGCGGGGUAAGUGUCCUGACUGAGGUGAUCUUCCUUUACAGAGAACUCAUCUCACACCAAGGGCAUAGGAGCAGCCACACUUAAGAUCAACUGUCCUUAACCACAGCAUCAUGAUACGCUGGAUUACCCAAUCGCUUGUAAGGAAAGACAGAGAUGAAGUUAUCCUGACUGCUGAGAUGAGCAGUUUACCCUAGGAGGACCUGUGGGACUAUGUUUUGGUAAAGAAAAGUUGAGCUGCUCUGUGGGAGUGAGGUUCCAAUGAAGCCAAAUGUACAAGGUGUGUGUUCUAUGGCCUAAAGACCCAAUGAUGGUAUCACAAUGGCAUGAGAAAGGUUCAAAGAUACAUGUUAUUUGGGGGAGCCUGGGGAAUGGGGUGACUGCUAAAGGGUGUGGGGUUUGUUUCUGGGGUGAUAAAAGUGUUGUAAAAUUGGUCGUGGUGAUAGUUACACAGCUCUGUGGAUAAAAAGCAUUGAACUAUACACUUUAAAUGGGAGGACUGUAUGGUAUGCAAAU